GCAUCGGUGGUUCAGUGGUAGAAUGCUCGCCUGUCACGCCGGGUUCGAUUCCCGGUCGAUGCA
rnacentral:tRNA from 1 species